GCUUACGGCCAUACCACCCUGAGCACCCCGAUCUCGUCUGAUCUCGGAAGCUAAUCAGGGUCGGGCCUGGUUAGUACUUGGAUGGGAGACCCGCCUGGGAAUACCAGGUGCUGUAAGCU
rnacentral:rRNA from 1 species